rnacentral:rRNA from 1 species
UGAGUACGAGAUGCUACGGCAUCGAAGCAGUCUAUGUCAUACUUCCAAGAAAAGCUUGCACUGUCAUAAACAAAGAAUGCCUGUACCAUAACCGACACAGGUGGGUAGGUAGAGUAUACUAAGGGGCGCGAGAUAACUCUCUCUAAGGAACUCGGCAAAAUGACUCCGUAACUUCGGGAGAAGGAGUGCCUUAUUUCUAAGGUUGCAAUAACAAGAUCCAAGCAACUGUUUACCAAAAACACAGGUCUCCGCUAAGUCGUAAGACGAUGUAUGGGGGCUGACGCCUGCCCAGUGCCAGAAGGUUAAAGAAGUUGGUUAGCAUUAGCGAAGCUGAUAACUGAAGCCCUGGUGAACGGCGGCCGUAACAAUAACGGUCCUAAGGUAGCGAAAUUCCUUGUCGGGUAAGUUCCGACCCGCACGAAAGGCGUAAUGAUUUGGAUACUGUCUCGGAGAGGGGCUCGGUGAAAUAGACUUGUCUGUGAAGAUGCGGACUACCUGCACCUGGACAGAAAGACCCUAUGAAGCUUUACUGUAACUUGAGAUUGAAAUUGGACUUUAUUUGCGCAGUAUAGGUGGGAGGCGUUGAGAAUAAUCUUGCGGGAUUGUUGGAGCCAUCAGUGAGAUACCACUCUUGUAAUGUUAGAUUUCUAACUUUGUAUCAUUAUCUGGUCAAAGAACAGUUUCAGGCGGGCAGUUUGACUGGGGCGGUCGCCUCCCAAAGGGUAACGGAGGCGCACAAAGGUUUCCUCUGAACGGGUAGAAAUCGUAUCUAGAGUGUAAAGGCAUAAGGAAGCUUGACUGUGAGACCUACAAGUCGAGCAGGGACGAAAGUCGGUCUUAGUGAUCUGACGGUGCUGAGUGGAAAGGCCGUCACUCAACGGAUAAAAGUUACUCUAGGAUAACAGGCUGAUCUCCCCCAAGAGUUCACAUCGACGGGGAGGUUUGGCACCUCGAUGUCGGCUCAUCGCAUCCUGGGGCGGUAGUCCGUCCCAAGGGUUGGGCUGUUCGCCCAUGAAAGCGGUACGCGAGCUGGGUUCAGAACGUCGUGAGACAGUUCGGUCCAUAUCCGGUGUAGGCGUUAGAAUAUUGAGAGGAGCCUUCUCUAGUACGAGAGGACCGAGAAGGACAUACCUCUGGUGUACCAGUUAUCGUGCCAACGGUAAACGCUGGGUAGCUAUGUAUGGAGUGGAUAACCGCUGAAAGCAUCUAAGUGGGAAGCCCACCUCAAGAUGAGUACUCUCACCAUAUUGGUUAAGGUCACGGGAAGAACACCCGUUGAUAGGCAUCAGGUGGAAGUGCAGUAAUGUAUGAAGCCGAAGUGUACUAACAGACCGAGGGC